GGUGUGGCUCAGGGCUAGAGCACCUGCCUGCAUCCAGGAGGCUCUGGGUUCGAUUCCCCAGCACC
rnacentral:tRNA from 1 species